rnacentral:rRNA from 1 species
GAUGAACGCUGGCGGCGUGCCUAAUACAUGCAAGUCGAGCGAAUGGAUUAAGAGCUUGCUCUUAUGAAGUUAGCGGCGGACGGGUGAGUAACACGUGGGUAACCUGCCCAUAAGACUGGGAUAACUCCGGGAAACCGGGGCUAAUACCGGAUAACAUUUUGAACCGCAUGGUUCGAAAUUGAAAGGCGGCUUCGGCUGUCACUUAUGGAUGGACCCGCGUCGCAUUAGCUAGUUGGUGAGGUAACGGCUCACCAAGGCAACGAUGCGUAGCCGACCUGAGCGGGUGAUCGGCCACACUGGGACUGAGACACGGCCCAGACUCCUACGGGAGGCAGCAGUAGGGAAUCUUCCGCAAUGGACGAAAGUCUGACGGAGCAACGCCGCGUGAGUGAUGAAGGCUUUCGGGUCGUAAAACUCUGUUGUUAGGGAAGAACAAGUGCUAGUUGAAUAAGCUGGCACCUUGACGGUACCUAACCAGAAAGCCACGGCUAACUACGUGUCAGCAGCCGCAGUAA